AUUGAACGCUGGCGGCAGGCCUAACACAUGCAAGUCGAGCGGAUGACGGGAGCUUGCUCCUUGAUUCAGCGGCGGACGGGUGAGUAAUGCCUAGGAAUCUGCCUGGUAGUGGGGGACAACGUUUCGAAAGGAACGCUAAUACCGCAUACGUCCUACGGGAGAAAGCAGGGGACCUUCGGGCCUUGCGCUAUCAGAUGAGCCUAGGUCGGAUUAGCUAGUUGGUGGGGUAAUGGCUCACCAAGGCGACGAUCCGUAACUGGUCUGAGAGGAGGAUCAGUCAAACUGGAACUGCGACACGGUCCAGACUCCUACGGGAGGCAGCAGUGGGGAAUAUUGGACAAUGGGCGAAAGCCUGAUCCAGCCAUGCCGCGUGUGUGAAGAAGGUCUUCGGAUUGUAAAGCACUUUAAGUUGGGAGGAAGGGCAGUAAGCUAAUACCUUGCUGUUUUGACGUUACCGACAGAAUAAGCACCGGCUAACUCUGUGCCAGCCGCCGCAGUAAUAC
rnacentral:rRNA from 1 species